rnacentral:rRNA from 1 species
CACCUCUAGCAUUACUAGUAUUAGAGGCACUGCCUGCCCAGUGACAUUAGUUAAACGGCCGCGGUAUCCUGACCGUGCAAAGGUAGCAUAAUCAUUUGUUCUUUAAAUAGGGACUUGUAUGAACGGCCACACGAGGGUUCUACUGUCUCUUGCUUCCAAUCAGUGAAAUUGACCUCCCCGUGCAGAGGCGGGGAUACACAAAUAAGACGAGAAGACCCUAUGGAGCUUUAAUUAACUAACUCAAAGAAAAUAUAAAUAACCGCCAAGGGAUAAUAAUCUUCUACCUGAGUUAGCAAUUUCGGUUGGGGUGACCUCGGAGAACAGAAAAACCUCCGAGUGACUAAAAUCUAGACUUACCAGUCAAAAUGUAGUGUCACUUAUUGAUCCAAAAUAUUUGAUCAACGGAACAAGUUACCCUAGGGAUAACAGCGCAAUCCUAUUCAAGAGUUCAUGUCGACAAUAGGGUUUACGACCUCGAUGUUGGAUCAGGACACCCCAAUGGUGCAGCCGCUAUUAAAGGUUCGUUUGUUCAACGAUUAAAGUCCU